UGUUUGUUGUUUUUGUUUGUUUGUUUUUUUUUUCACCAGUUUUUGGUCCCUUUAAUAGUGAUUCACCAAGGCCAGUGUCUGAGAAGUUCUCCUUAAUCUGUUAAUCCAUUGCGGAAUACUGAGGGGGCUGCACUGUCACCAGAGAGGGGCGGGGCCUCCGGUCACCAGAGCCCUGAAACAGCUGUUUCCCUCAUGGUAAAAUGUCUGGCUGGAACUGCGAUCAGUCAUGCUAGGAAGCUAAGGUCUCCACAAGUCAGGAUGCCGUGGAAAAUAAUCAGGUGAAAUGGAAAUACAGUGGAUGUGUAUUUGUACUUAAUGUUUAUAUUUCAAAGUGGAAGCUGUACCUGAGUAGGUGAUCCACCUCUGCCUGGUCAAAGGGUGUGAUGCCCUGGAGCUCGUGCGUGAUGCUGCCGUUGACCCACUGCACAGCUGUGCUGACCGCACUGGCCCUCUCUGCCUCCUCCACCUCGGCCAGCUCGGGCAGAGUGUUCUCAUGGACUUCAAACAGGGUAACUGGGACAUCCUCACAGCAUGAUGACUAGCUUCCAAGAGGACAAGCUUCAAUAUGCCAGCACUUAUCAACUCUCUGUUUGUAUCGUGCUUUCCAAGGUCUCAUUGAUCAAACUAAGUGACAUGGCCAAGUCCAGAGUCGGUGUGGGAGGGACUUACAAAAGACUGUUCACACUGGAGGUCUA